rnacentral:rRNA from 1 species
UGGGGAAUAUUGCACAAUGGAGGGAACUCUGAUGCAGCGACGCCGCGUGAGCGAUGAAGGCUUUCGAGUCGUAAAGCUCUGUCGAAUGGGAAGAUAAUGACGGUACCAUUUGAGAAAGCCCCGGCUAACUACGUGCCAGCAGCCGCGGUAAUACGUAGGGGGCGAGCGUUGUCCGGAAUUAUUGGGCGUAAAGGGUUCGUAGGCGGCAAUGUAUGUCAGGUGUGAAAGACGGUGGCUCAACCAACGCAAGCAUCUGAAACUGCAUAGCUUGAGAAAAGGAGAGGUAAGUGGAAUUCCUAGUGUAGCGGUGAAAUGCGUAGAUAUUAGGAGGAAUACCAGUGGCGAAGGCGACUUACUGGACUUUAACUGACGCUGAUGAACGAAAGCGUGGGGAGCAAACAGG